rnacentral:rRNA from 1 species
CGGACCUUCGGGUUCGAGCCGAGUGGCGGACGGGUGAGUAACACGUGACCGACCUAGCUUCGAGUGGGGGGCAACCCGGGGAAACCUGGGCUAAUACCGCAUACUGCCUCGCUGUCGCAUGGCGGUGAGAUGAAAGAGGGCCUCUGCUUGCAAGCUCUCGCUCGAGGGGGGGGUCGCGGCGUAUCAGCUUGUUGGUAGGGUAACGGCCUACCAAGGCGACGACGCGUAGCGGGUCUGAGAGGACGACCCGUCACAUUGGGACUGAGAUACGGCCCAGACUCCUACGGGAGGCAGCAGUGGGGAAUAUUGCGCAAUGGCCGAAAGGCUGACGCAGCGACGCCGCGUGUGGGAGGAAGCCCUUCGGGGUGUAAACCACUGUCAGAGGGGAAGAAAGGCGUGCUCUCGAACAGGGAGUGCGCUUGACGGUACCUUCAAAGGAAGCGCCGGCUAACUCCGUGCCAGCAGCCGCGGUAAGACGGGGGGCGCAAGCGUUGUUCGGAAUUACUGGGCGUAAAGCGCGCGCAGGCGGUCUUCUAAGUCCCUUGUGUAAUUCCGGGGCUCAACCUCGGAGAUGCGUGGGAUACUGGCGGACUAGAGAACGGUAGAGGCUAGCGGAAUUCCUGGUGUAGCGGUGGAAUGCGUAGAUAUCAGGAGGAACACCGGUGGCGAAGGCGGCUAGCUGGGCCGUUUCUGACGCUCAUGUGCGAAAGCGUGGGGAGCAAACAGGAUUAGAUA